AGGAUCCAUGAUGCAACCAUUAACUGCGACUGCGUUAUCUUUCUGCAACCUUUUUAUGGGUGCUGAAGAACACAUAAGCUGCUGAGAUCCAUU